rnacentral:rRNA from 1 species
CCUACGGGGGGCAGCAGUGAGGAAUAUUGGUCAAUGGGCGCAGGCCUGAACCAGCCAAGUCGCGUGAGGGAAGACUGCCCUAUGGGUUGUAAACCUCUUUUAUAAGGGAAGAAUAAUGACUACGUGUAGUCAGAUGCCCGUACCUUAUGAAUAAGCAUCGGCUAACUCCGUGCCAGCAGCCGCGGUAAUACGGAGGAUGCGAGCGUUAUCCGGAUUUAUUGGGUUUAAAGGGUGCGUAGGCGGAAUGCCAAGUCAGCGGUAAAAUCGCGGGGCUCAACCUCGCUACGCCGUUGAAACUGGGGAUCUAGAGUGUGCGAGAGGUAUGCGGAAUGCGUGGUGUAGCGGUGAAAUGCAUAGAUAUCACGCAGAACCCCGAUUGCGAAGGCAGCAUACCGGUGCACAACUGACGCUCAGGCACGAAAGCGUGGGUAUCGAACAGGAUUAGAUACCCCUGUAGUC